GACGAACGCUGGCGGCGUGCUUAACACAUGCAAGUCGAGCGGUAAGGCCCUCGGGUACGACGAGCGGCGAACGGGUGAGUAACACGUGGGUGACCUGCCUCUAGCUCUGGGAUAAGCCUGGGAAACUGGGUCGUAAUACCGGAUAUGACUCCACGGCGCAUGUUGUGGGGUGGAAAGCCUUGUGUGGCUAGAGAUGGGCCCGCGGCCUAUCAGCUUGUUGGUGGGGUGAUGGCCUACCAAGGCGACGACGGGUAGCCGGCCUGAGAGGGCGACCGGCCACACUGGGACUGAGACACGGCCCAGACUCCUACGGGAGGCAGCAGUGGGGAAUCUUGCGCAAUGGGCGAAAGCCUGACGCAGCGACGCCGCGUGAGGGAUGACGGCCU
rnacentral:rRNA from 1 species